rnacentral:rRNA from 2 species
CAACUUUCAACAACGGAUCUCUUGGCUCUCGCAUCGAUGAAGAACGCAGCGAAAUGCGAUACGUAAUGUGAAUUGCAGAAUUCAGUGAAUCAUCGAAUCUUUGAACGCACCUUGCGCCCUUUGGCAUUCCGAGGGGCACACCCGUUUGAGUGUCGUGA